rnacentral:rRNA from 1 species
GAUGAACGCUGGCGGCGUGCCUAAUACAUGCAAGUCGAGCGAACGGACGAGAAGCUUGCUUCUCUGAUGUUAGCGGCGGACGGGUGAGUAACACGUGGAUAACCUACCUAUAAGACUGGGAUAACUUCGGGAAACCGGAGCUAAUACCGGAUAAUAUUUUGAACCGCAUGGUUCAAAAGUGAAAGACGGUCUUGCUGUCACUUAUAGAUGGAUCCGCGCUGCAUUAGCUAGCUGGUAAGGUAACGGCUUACCAAGGCAACGAUGCAUAGCCGACCUGAUAGGGUGAUCGGCCACACUGGAACUGAGACACGGUCCAGACUCCUACGGGAGGCAGCAGUAGGGAAUCUUCCGCAAUGGGCGAAAGCCUGACGGAGCAACGCCGCGUGAGUGAUGAAGGUCUUCGGAUCGUAAAACUCUGUUAUUGGGGAAGAACAUAUGUGUAAGUAACUGUGCACAUCUUGACGGUACCUAAUCAGAAAGCCACGGCUAACUACGUG